UUGUUGUUUUGAGGGAAUGAGGGGUUUGCUUUGCGCCGAACGAUAUGCCCUGCUGCGUGUGUACUGGUGGAUACGGUGCGCUGUGAGGCACAGACACGUGACUUGCUACUAUUUUUUCGUGUGUAGUGUACGUGGAGAAGAGCGAAGAAUGGAGCACUUAAAACUAGUCCCUCAAGUCUAGCAGUCAACGUCAGCGGAUCGUUCUCUCCCCAUCAGGAAGUGUAACGCAUUGUUUGCGAUUUGCAUUCAUUAGCAAAAUAAAUAUACUUUAAGGGCAAAGGAAAGUACCGAAAACAAUCCUAUCCAGUCCAAAGGUCCACAAUAAUGGAGCCUAAAAAUCGUUCCUUCUGCCCGGCAAUUUUGUUCCGUUUUUCAUUAAAACAUUGACUACCCUGGUGGGUGGAAUGGAGGGGAGAGGGGAAUCGACAAAAAAGGCCACCAGUACACCUCAAACAUUGUAUACCACACCGCAUUAUGCAAUCGAGGAGGAUAGGCCAGAAUCAAACAUCGCACAGCAUCGCUCUAUAAAAAAAAACAACUAGCACAUAACCAACACAAAACGGAUGGCUGUCAAUCGGCCACAGACAAUGGAAAGCUGUGGCAGAAACUGUGCUGUAAAAAAAACAAAAACAAAAAUCGCACAUGGCGCUGAACCUUCGAUUCUACCUCUCCAGAAGACUGAGAGGACUCGCUGCGGGAUAGCGUAGCGCUUCAGCCCCAUCUCCAUCAUCCUACCGGGAGCGAUGAAGUCAAGGACGGAAAAGGAUUAUGUAUUCUAAAUGGUUGGGCAUGGUUGCGCCAUGCAAAACUCGUGACGAGAGAUGGAAGCAUAAUCAGGAAACGGAAGGUAUGGAGAUACCGAACCGACAUGUCACAAACACCGGAUGAAUAACGAAGAGAAAGAAAGAGUGUUAGCGAGAACACACAGACGACGACAACGACAUGAGCAACAAAAUGGGCACGAAUUGGGAUUGCUUCCGACGUGGCAGCAAACCGAUCGAGUGUGGAUAGCUUUUACGUGCAAUUGUGUGCAGAAAUUGGUUGGAAAAUCGAAUCGUGUGUGGUUGGUUUUUCAUCCAUCUAAUUACGUACAAACACACACAUAUAUAUAAACACACACGCGCAAAAGCUCACACCAAAGCAUAGCAUUCGUGGUUGGGUUGGAAAAUGUAAGCUGCGUCCGCUUUCGUCAAUGCGCGCACACACACACACACACAGUGAACCAAGUGGAGUUGAAGGGGGGAUGGUUUUUUGAAACAGUGGGUGAGGUGGUUGCGAUGAUGCUGAUUAUGGUGCUGGCUGAUGGUACUAUACUCCAAAAGAAAAUGGAUUUUUAUGUUACCCUGCGGCACAAACAACACCGGUACUCUAUCGAGCAUGUACAUACAUACAAUGGUGUAUAAAUAGACAUUGGCAAAACGUAGAUAAGGAA